rfam:Triticum aestivum genome assembly, contig: Triticum_aestivum_CS42_TGACv1_scaffold_288986_4AL
CGCCCCCACCCUCGUGGAGAGACGGUGGGCCCCCUAGCCUUCAUCUUUGGCAUGUAUUUUUCUUAUUUUCUAAAAAGUGGCUCCGUGAAGUUUCAGGUCAUUCCGAGAACGUUUGCUCCUGCACAUAAAUAACAUCAUGGUAAUUCUGCUGAAAACUGCGUCAGUUCUGAGGAAUAAGCAUCGGCUAACUCUGUGCCAGCAGCCGCGGUAAGACAGAGGAUGCAAGCGUUAUCCGGAAUGAUUGGGCGUAAAGCGUAUGUAGGUGGCUUUUCAAGUCCGUCGUCAAAUCCUAGGGCUCAACCCUGGACAGGCGGUGGAAACUACUAAGCUGGAGUACGGUAGGGGCAGAGGGAAUUUCCGGUGGAGCGGUGAAAUGCAUUGAGAUCGGAAAGAACACCAAUGGUGAAAGCACUCUGCUGGGCCGACACUGACACUGAGAGACGAAAGCUAGGGGAGCAAAUGGGAUUAGAGACCCCAGUAGUCCUAGCGGGUUAGUUCCGUU